rnacentral:rRNA from 1 species
UACAGAGGGUGCAAGCGUUGUUCGGAAUUAUUGGGCGUAAAGCGCGUGUAGGCGGUCCGGUAAGUCCGCUGUGAAAGUCGAGGGCUCAACCCUCGAAUGCCGGUGGAUACUGUCGGGCUAGAGUACGGAAGAGGCGAGUGGAAUUCCUGGUGUAGCGGUGAAAUGCGCAGAUAUCAGGAGGAACACCCAUUGCGAAGGCAGCUCGCUGGGACGUUACUGACGCUGAGACGCGAAAGCGUGGGGAGCAAACAGG